rnacentral:misc_RNA from 1 species
GAUGAAGAACGCAGCGAAAUGCGAUAAGUAAUGUGAAUUGCAGAAUUCAGUGAAUCAUCGAAUCUUUGAACGCACAUUGCGCCCGCCAGCAUUCUGGCGGGCAUGCCUGUUCGAGCGUCAUUUCAACCCUCAAGCUCUGCUUGGUGUUGGGGCCCUACGGUUGACGUAGGCCCUUAAAGGUAGUGGCGGACCCUCUCGGAGCCUCCUUUGCGUAGUAACUAACGUCUCGCAUUGGGAUUCGGAGGGACUCUUGCCGUAAAACCCCCAAAUUUUCUAAUGGUUGACCUCGGAUCAGGUAGGAAUACCCGCUGAACUUAAGCAUAUCAAUAAGCGGAGGA